UACGGAGGAUGCAAGCGUUAUCCGGAAUUAUUGGGCGUAAAGCGUCCGCAGGUGGCACUUCAAGUCUGUCGUCAAAGACCGGGGCUUAACCCUGGAAAGGCGAUGGAAACUGAAAGGCUAGAGAGAGGUAGGGGUAGAGGGAAUUCCCAGUGUAGCGGUGAAAUGCGUAGAUAUUGGGAGGAACACCAGUGGCGAAGGCGGCUCACUGGACCGGUACUGACGCUGAGGCGCGAAAGCGUGGGUAGCAAACAGG
rnacentral:rRNA from 1 species